GACGAACGCUGGCGGCGUGCUUAACACAUGCAAGUCGAGCGGUAAGGCCCUUUCGGGGGUACACGAGCGGCGAACGGGUGAGUAACACGUGGGUGACCUGCCCUUAGCUCUGGGAUAAGCCUGGGAAACUGGGUCUAAUACCGGAUAUGACUCCAUAACGCAUGUUGUGGGGUGGAAAGCCUUGUGCGGCUAGGGAUGGGCCCGCGGCCUAUCAGCUUGUUGGGUGGGGUGAUGGCCACCAAGGCGACGACGGGUAGCCGGCCUGAGAGGGCGACCGGCCACACUGGGACUGAGACACGGCCCAGACUCCUACGGGAGGCAGCAGUGGGGAAUCUUGCGCAAUGGGCGAAAGCCUGACGCAGCGACGCCGCGUGGGGA
rnacentral:rRNA from 1 species